rnacentral:rRNA from 1 species
GGUCAAGUAAUGAAGCGCACAUGGUGGAUGCCUUGGCAGUCAGAGGCGAUGAAAGACGUGACAGCCUGCGAUAAGCUUCGGGGAGGCGGCAAUAUCCUGUGAUCCGGAGAUUUCUGAAUGGGGAAACCCACCUACCAUAAGGUAGGUAUCUUGUACUUGUACAAGAAGCGAACGAGGGGAAGUGAAACAUCUCAGUACCCUUAGGAAUAGACAUCAAAUGAGAUUCCCCUAGUAGCGGCGAGCGAACGGGGAGAAGCCGAUUAAUUCUAAUGUAGAAGAACAGCGUGGGAAAGCUGACCGUAGUAGGUGAUAGUCCUGUAUUCGAAACAUUAGAGUUAACAUAUUAAGUAGAGCGGGGCACGAGAAAUCCUGUUUGAAGAUGGGGGGACCAUCCUCCAAGGCUAAAUACUCCUGACUGACCGAUAGUGAACCAGUACCGUGAGGGAAAGGCGAAAAGAACCCCUGUGAGGGGAGUGAAAUAGAACCUGAAACCGUGUGCGUACAAGCAGUAGGAGCCUCAAUUUAUUGGGGUGACUGCGUACCUUUUGUAUAAUGGGUCAGCGACUUAUAUUCUGUAGCAAGGUUAACCGUUUAGGGGAGCCGUAGGGAAACCGAGUCUUAAUAGGGCGUUUAGUUGCAGGGUAUAGACCCGAAACCGAGUGAUCUAUCCAUGAGCAGGUUGAAAGUGCCGUAACAGGCACCGGAGGACCGAACCCACUGUCGUUGAAAAGCCAGGGGAUGACUUGUGGAUAGGGGUGAAAGGCUAAUCAAACUCGGUGAUAGCUGGUUCUCCCCGAAAGCUAUUUAGGUAGCGCCUCGGACGAACACCAUUGGGGGUAGAGCACUGUUUCGGCUAGGGGGUCAUACCGACUUACCAAACCGAUGCAAACUCCGAAUACCGAUGAGUGAUAUCCGGGAGACACACAGUGGGUGCUAACGUCCAUUGUGGAGAGGGAAACAACCCAGACCGCCAGCUAAGGCCCCAAAUUCCUAGUUAAGUGGGAAACGAGGUGGGAAGGCAUAGACAGCUAGGAGGUUGGCUUAGAAGCAGCCAUCCUUUAAAGAAAGCGUAAUAGCUCACUAGUCGAGUCGGCCUGCGCGGAAGAUGUAACGGGGCUCAAACUAGGAGCCGAAGCUGCGGAUUUGAAUUUGUUUUCAAGUGGUAGGGGAGCGUUGUGUAAGCCUGUGAAGGUGUGUCGUAAGGCAUGCUGGAGGUAUCACAAGAGCGAAUGCUGACGUGAGUAACGAUAAUGCGAGUGAAAAGCUCGCACGCCGGAAGAUCAAGGGUUCCAGUCCAACGUUAAUCGGGGCUGGGUGAGUCGACCCCUAAGGCGAGGCCGAAAGGCGUAGUCGAUGGGAAAUCAGUUAAUAUUCUGAUACUUGUUUAUAAUGCGAUGGAGGGACGGAGAAGGUUAUGUCAGCCUGGCGUUGGUUGUCCAGGUGAAAGGAUGUAGGCUUGUGGCUUAGGUAAAUCCGGGCUACUACAUGGCUGAGAUCUGAUAGCAAGCUGUACUUGUACAGUGAAGUGGCAAAUACCAUGCUUCCAGGAAAAGCUUCUAAGCAAUAGUUAUAAACGAAUCGUACCCUAAACCGACACAGGUGAUCAGGUAGAGAAUACCAAGGCGCUUGAGAGAACUCUGCUGAAGGAACUAGGCAAAAUGGUACCGUAACUUCGGGAGAAGGUACGCUGUUGGUGGUGAUAGGACACGCUCCUUGAGCUGCUGGCAGUCGCAGAUACCAGGCUGCUGCAACUGUUUAUUAAAAACACAGCACUCUGCAAACACGAAAGUGGACGUAUAGGGUGUGAUGUCUGCCCGGUGCUGGAAGGUUAAUUGAUGGGGUUAGCGUAAGCGAAGCUCUUGAUCGAAGCCCCAGUAAACGGCGGCCGUAACUAUAACGGUCCUAAGGUAGCGAAAUUCCUUGUCGGGUAAGUUCCGACCUGCACGAAUGACAUAAUGAUGGCAGCGCUGUCUCCAGCAGAGACUCAGUGAAAUCGAAAUCGCAGUGAAGAUGCUGUGUACCCGCGGCUAGACGGAAAGACCCCGUGAACCUUUACUACAGCUUUACAUUGAACUUUGACCUGACUUGUGCAGGAUAGGUGGGAGGCUUUGAAGCAGACACGCUAGUGUUUGUGGAGCCAAUCUUGAAAUACCACCCUGGUCAUGUUGGGGUUCUAACUCAGGUAUAACAAUACCGAGGACAAUGUAUGGUGGGUAGUUUGACUGGGGCGGUCUCCUCCUAAAGAGUAACGGAGGAGUACGAAGGUGCGCUCAGACCGGUCGGAAAUCGGUCGUAGAG